UACGAAGGGGGCUAGCGUUGCUCGGAAUCACUGGGCGUAAAGGGUGCGUAGGCGGGUCUUUUAAGUCAGGGGUGAAAUCCUGGAGCUCAACUCCAGAACUGCCUUUGAUACUGAAGAUCUUGAGUACGGGAGAGGUGAGUGGAACUGCGAGUGUAGAGGUGAAAUUCGUAGAUAUUCGCAAGAACACCAGUGGCGAAGGCGGCUCACUGGCCCGUAACUGACGCUGAGGCACGAAAGCGUGGGGAGCAAACAGG
rnacentral:rRNA from 1 species